rnacentral:rRNA from 1 species
GAUGAACGCUAGCUACAGGCUUAACACAUGCAAGUCGAGGGGAAACGGCAUUAAGUGCUUGCACUUUUUGGACGUCGACCGGCGCACGGGUGAGUAACGCGUAUCCAACCUUCCCAUGACUAAGGGAUAACCUGCCGAAAGGCAGACUAAUACCUUAUGGUCUUCACUGACGGCAUCAGAUGUGAAGUAAAGAUUUAUCGGUUAUGGAUGGGGAUGCGUCUGAUUAGCUUGUUGGCGGGGUAACGGCCCACCAAGGCAGCGAUCAGUAGGGGUUCUGAGAGGAAGGUCCCCCACAUUGGAACUGAGACACGGUCCAAACUCCUACGGGAGGCAGCAGUGAGGAAUAUUGGUCAAUGGGCGAGAGCCUGAACCAGCCAAGUAGCGUGCAGGAUGACGGCCCUAUGGGUUGUAAACUGCUUUUGUAUGGGGAUAAAGUCAAUCACGUGUGAUUGUUUGCAGGUACCAUACGAAUAAGGACCGGCUAAUUCCGUGCCAGCAGCCGCGGUAAUACGGAAGGUCCGGGCGUUAUCCGGAUUUAUUGGGUUUAAAGGGAGCGUAGGCUGGAGAUUAAGUGUGUUGUGAAAUGUAGACGCUCAACGUCUGACUUGCAGCGCAUACUGGUUUCCUUGAGUACGCACAACGUUGGCGGAAUUCGUCGUGUAGCGGUGAAAUGCUUAGAUAUGACGAAGGACUCCGAUUGCGAAGGCAGCUGACGGGAGCGCAACUGACGCUGAAGCUCGAAGGUGCGGGUAUCGAACAGG